rnacentral:rRNA from 1 species
UACGGAGGGUGCAAGCGUUAUCCGGAUUCACUGGGUUUAAAGGGUGCGUAGGUGGGCAGGUAAGUCAGUGGUGAAAUCUCUGGGCUUAACCCGGAAACUGCCAUUGAUACUAUUUGUCUUGAAUAUCGUGGAGGUCAGCGGAAUAUGUCAUGUAGCGGUGAAAUGCUUAGAUAUGACAUAGAACACCAAUUGCGAAGGCAGCUGGCUACGCGAAUAUUGACACUGAUGCACGAAAGCGUGGGGAUCAAACAGG